GACGAACGCUGGCGGCGUGCUUAACACAUGCAAGUCGAACGGAAAGGCCCUGCUUUUGUGGGGUGCUCGAGUGGCGAACGGGUGAGUAACACGUGAGUAACCUGCCCUUGACUUUGGGAUAACUUCAGGAAACUGGGGCUAAUACCGGAUAGGAGCUCCUGCUGCAUGGUGGGGGUUGGAAAGUUUCGGCGGUUGGGGAUGGACUCGCGGCUUAUCAGCUUGUUGGUGGGGUAGUGGCUUACCAAGGCUUUGACGGGUAGCCGGCCUGAGAGGGUGACCGGCCACAUUGGGACUGAGAUACGGCCCAGACUCCUACGGGAGGCAGCAGUGGGGAAUAUUGCACAAUGGGCGGAAGCCUGAUGCAGCAACGCCGCGUGCGGGAUGACGGCCUUCGGGUUGUAAACCGCUUUCGCCUGUGACGAAGCGUGAGUGAUGGUAAUGGGUAAAGGAGCACCGGCUAACUACGUG
rnacentral:rRNA from 1 species